rnacentral:tRNA from 1 species
GUUAUAGCUCAGUGGUAGAGUGCUUGCCUCACACGUGUGAGGCACUGGGUUCCAUCCUCAGCACCACA